GACGAACGCUGGUGGCGUGCUUAACACAUGCAAGUCGAACGGAAAGGCCCUGCUUUUGUGGGGUGCUCGAGUGGCGAACGGGUGAGUAACACGUGAGUAACCUGCCCUUGACUUUGGGAUAACUUCAGGAAACUGGGGCUAAUACCGGAUAGGAGCUCCUGCUGCAUGGUGGGGGUUGGAAAGUUUCGGCGGUUGGGGAUGGACUCGCGGCUUAUCAGCUUGUUGGUGGGGUAGUGGCUUACCAAGGCUUUGACGGGUAGCCGGCCUGAGAGGGUGACCGGCCACAUUGGGACUGAGAUACGGCCCAGACUCCUACGGGAGGCAGCAGUGGGGAAUAUUGCACAAUGGGCGGAAGCCUGAUGCAGCAACGCCGCGUGCGGGAUGACGGCCUUCGGGUUGUAACCCGCUUUCGCCUGUGAUGAAGCGUGAGUGACGGUAAUGGGUAAAGAAGCACCGGCUAACUACGUG
rnacentral:rRNA from 1 species